rnacentral:rRNA from 1 species
GAUGAACGCUGGCUACAGGCUUAACACAUGCGAGUCGAGGGGAAACGACGGGGAAGCUUGCUUCCCCGGGCGUCGACCGGCGCACGGGUGAGUAACGCGUAUCCAACCUGCCUCUGACUGAGGGAUAACCCGUCGAAAGUCGGCCUAAUACCUCAUGGCAUCGUCUGCGGGCAUCCAACGACGAUUAAAGAUUUCAUCGGUCAGAGAUGGGGAUGCGUCUGAUUAGCUUGUUGGCGGGGUAACGGCCCACCAAGGCGACGAUCAGUAGGGGUUCUGAGAGGAAGGUCCCCCACAUUGGAACUGAGACACGGUCCAAACUCCUACGGGAGGCAGCAGUGAGGAAUAUUGGUCAAUGGGCGAGAGCCUGAACCAGCCAAGUAGCGUGCAGGAUGACGGCCCUAUGGGUUGUAAACUGCUUUUAUGCGGGGAGAAAGUGAGGGACGUGUCCUUCAUUGCAGGUACCGCAUGAAUAAGGACCGGCUAAUUCCGUG